AACGAACGCUGGCGGCGCGCCUAAUACAUGCAAGUCGAGCGAGAAGACGUAGCAAUACGUUUGUAAAGCGGCGAACGGGUGAGGAAUACAUGGGUAACCUACCCUCGAGUGGGGAAGUAACUAGCCGAAAGGUUAGCUAAUACCGCGUACGCUCCUUGGACUUCGGUUCAGGGAGGAAAGCGAUACCGUGGGUAUCGCGCUCUUGGAUGGGCUCAUGUCCUAUCAGCUUGUUGGUGAGGUAACGGCUCACCAAGGCUUCGACGGGUAGCUGGUCUGAGAGGACGAUCAGCCACACUGGCACUGCGACACGGGCCAGACUCCUACGGGAGGCAGCAGUAAGGAAUAUUGCGCAAUGGGCGAAAGCCUGACGCAGCGACGCCGCGUGGGGGGAGUGAA
rnacentral:rRNA from 1 species